GUCUAUUUGCAGUACAGUAUUUUUUGUCACCGAUGCACCAUGUUUGACAUGGCGUAGGUUUCUUACACAUUCAAGACCUUAUACUUGGGAGUAGUAUUCACUAACAAUAGCUUGUGCAAGCAAACAAGUGGCUGUGUGCAUGACUAUUCAGCAAGUGCUAAAUAUGGAGGCUGGUAUCAGGUCCUAUGCGAGGAGAGAUUUAUUGGGUUGUGCUUAAAAUGUAGCAGCACACAUCAAGUUGAUUGUUCAAUGCAUCAGCAGUGCAGCAUAGGCAAAUCAGAACACAAACCAUUUAGAGCAUCAAUAUGGGAUCAACACAGUAGGCUCUCAUCCAGCAGCUAAGGCUUCGUGCAUAUGGGCAAGAAGGUGAACCAAAUAUGCAUGAUUCAAACAUAGAGAUGCAGCCAGAACUCAGCAAGGAAGGAACAAUCUUAUCAAGACAAUCUAAGCCCCUUAAAUCAGAAACAAACAUCACAAAGGGACUUAAACCCACAAGAACAGAAUCCAGAGAAAACAGCCUGCCAGCCUACCUUGCAAGGUACCUGGACAUCAGAAUUUUGCAUCAAGGAUCAAGAAAAUCCAAGGAACGUCAUCAAUGCACAUGGACCAAGAAGCCAAGGCCCAAGCGUAGCCCUAAUAGUCCACACAGAAACCACAGAACCAGCUCCAAGGUCGUAAGGCAGCAAGAUCAGUGUCAGAAGCCCUGGUUCAAGGCGCUCGAUCCUCAAGAAUUCGAUGAAGGCAAUAUACUCGAUGAUCGGGAGGGAAGUGGUGGUGGUGAUGAUGAUGAAGACGAAGAGGAAGAAGUACAGGAUGAGUGUGAGAAUGAUGGUUUUAUUGUUGAUGGCGAUGAAGAUGAGGAAGAAUCCAAAGAAGAUGAUGAUGAGAAAAGGGAUAGAAAGAAGUGGAAAAAGAAAAGGGUGUGAAACAACUGUGAAGGUCAGGCUGGGGAUGUGGAUAGUGCCAUUGUAACUUGUAGCUUGGACGUGCAAUUGGUAAUAUGGUAUAUCUUUAUUGUCAACAACUUAUAUGUGUGACUUUAAAAGCUAAGUUGAUAUGAAUAAAUGAUGUUUUGUAAUCGCUAAUAUCUGAAAUGGUAGGUUGAAAGGUAUAUAAUUAGUUAAGUGGGGCUAUAUUAUUCCUACUUGUAUUAGCUGCUUGAAUGUAGUCAGUUGAUUAAAGCGCUUAAUUUAAUUUGUGUAUCAGCUUAAGAAGCAUAAUCACUUCACUUGCUUUUCUUUGCUCCAUUUUAGGGAGUGUUAAUUAGCAAGCUACCUAAACGUUUUCAUUAUUUUACUGGUGAUUGGAUUUUUUUAGCGAAUCCUUUGAACUUGAUGAUGAUGAUUAUGAGCUUCUACUGGACAAUAAUGUGAAAGUUCCUCGUAAAGAAACCAAGUUGAAAAGGCUGCAGAAGGUUGAUACUCAUGUUGGGCAUUCUGAUGAGGAUGAUUUUAAUGAGGCGCUCGAUCCUCAAGAAUUCGAUGAUGGCAAUAUACUCGAUGAUCGGAAGGGAAGUGGUGGUGAUGGUGAUGAUGAUGAAGACGAAGAGGAAGGGUGUGAAACAACUGUGAAGGUCAGGCUGGGGAUGUGGAUAGUGCCAUUGUAACUUGUAGCCUGGACGUGCAAUUGGUAAUAUGGUAUAUCUUUAUUGUCAACAACUUAUAUGUGUGACUUUAAAAGCUAAGUUGAUAUGAAUAAAUGAUGUUUUGUAAUCGCUAAUAUCUGAAAUGGUAGGUUGAAAGGUAUAUAAUUAGUUAAGUGGGGCUACAUUAUUCCUACUUGUAUUAGCUGCUUGAAUGUAGUUAGUUGAUUAAAGCGCUUAAUUUAAUUUGUGUAUCAGCUUAAGAAGCAUAAUCACUUCACUUGCUUUUCUGUUCUCCAUUUUAGGGAGUGUUAAUUAGCAAGCUACCUAAACGUUUUCAUUAUUUUACUGGUGAUUGGAUUUUUUAGCGAAUCCUUUGAACUUGAUGAUGAUGAUUAUGAGCUUCUACUGGACAAUAAUGUGAAAGUUCCUCGUAAAGAAACCAAGUUGAAAAGGCUGCAGAAGGUUGAUACUGAUGUUGGGCAUUCUGAUGACUUGAUGAGGAUGAUUUUAAUGGUACGCUGAGAAGCGUAACUGGCAACCUAAUUUUAUUGAAUUUUAUUGAGCUGGAAGAAAUUAACUACAAUGAAUCACUUACAGAUAAAAAAUGAACUCUAAACCUUAAACCUAAAUCCUCUUUUAUAGAGGAAGUUUACUUGGGAAACCCUAUAUCUAACUUAAGAAAUAAUAAAAAUAAUAAAAGCAAAUAAAUUAAAAACUAACUAAAUCGUGAAGGCUGACUAGCUAGGCCAUGAAUCAUCGCUUUGGUUCAACUCGUCGCAUUAUUUUCCUGGGCAGCGAGUUGUGGCUUAUAUUGUAUGAGCUUGGCGACUAAUCAUCACUUAGGCUGCUUGUGGUGCUCACGCCUUCUUCACUUGUUAGAGGUCUUAGGUUAUUUCUCCAAGCCUUCACCCCUUUUAUAAUAACUUCAUGGUCCUAUUAAAAUAUACAUAGGACCCCAAUUUGUUGCAAAAAAUUAUAUUUAGUCUUGUGUAAAUUAGUAGCUUCUCAUGUAUUUGGUAGAAGAAUGAAAUCUAUUCUUGUAUAGGUCCCUUUAUUACACGUUCACUUUGUCUUCCCCACAUUCUUAUUUUUCGUUGAGGUUUUGUUUUUUCGUCCUAUUUUAUUUAUUUGUUUAUCUGUCUUCAAUCGGGUUCUUCAUUAUGGAGUUUGUUGUUCUGUUUUCUUCUUAAUCCUUCUGAUUUUUGAAGAAAUUGUUGUUCUAUCAUCACUUGAUCUUGUUUCAAAAAUUGGCAAGAGUACUAGAAGAAAUUAAUUUGGCUUUAUUAAUAUUGUUCUUAAAUUUCUUGUUAAUUGCUCAUGCGUGCCAUUGGAAAUGCUGCAAUUGACUUUUGUAUGUGAGAGCUUUUGGGGUCAAUUGUAGCAAUUUCUAUCAUCCAUCCAUCGGGUUUAUUAAUGAAGUUGAUCAUAUUUGGUUAAGAUUAUGACACAUAGUAAGGAUCAGAGGUUGAAGUAGAGUUUAGUGAUUGUGUCUACAAAGAACUUAAGAGGAGUUUACUAUUUAACUAUAUUCUGUGAACACUUCCAAUCUUAUAUUUCUUGCAAUAGAUAUAAACCUUGCUAAGGAUUAUAGUACUCCCCACUCGUGAAGCUGAUUCCGUUGUAGUUUUAUGGCUAUGAAAACAAGCAUUGAUUCAUCUAUCCAGUUGACUAUAUUCUUUUUCCUUAUCCUCGUCAAAUGCUUGGUUUUCAAAUGUUGUAAACUUGUAAUUAAAUUGGACUUUUAAAGCUUGUUUUUAAAAUGCUUUUGUGUUCUUUGCUGAUAUCCUGGGAGAACUGUUUAUUCAGCUCAUGUCACUUAGAAACUUUAGGUUAUUGGAAAAGUAGGUUGAUGGAAACUUUAGAACUUCUUAUACCUGGCUUCCAAGAAGAAACUUAUAAGGGAGAAGUUUAUGAGGAUAUGAGGAUAUGGAGGCUAUGAUAGAAACUGAAGCAAAAAUGUAGAAAAAAUCAUAGUGAAAAAUUUUAGGGAGCUGAGGUUGGAUGCCCCAAGGACAACAAUGAGGUUGAUGAAUGUAGAGUUGGGGUGACUGUUUCUAGAAAGAACAUAUUAAAGAUGUAUCAAUAUAUUAAAGAUUUACAUUCUUAAAAUUCUUAUAUUUAAUGGAUUGUUAUUUUUUAUAUUUAAUGUGUCCAAGAGUAUAAGUCAAAUUAGUACGGCAUUCUAAAAUAUAUGUUAUUUUGUCAUUUCUACAAACCGACAGAUGUGAAUUCCUCGGUGUGAUGGAACCUUUCUCCAACUCUCAUCUGCAACUUUCUCCAACUAUUUUCUUCGACCGGAAGUGUUGUGCCUGAAUGAAAAUAAAAUCAAAGCUAGAUUAAUAUGAAGUGAAUUUGUUAUGUUGCCAAUGUACCUUGCCUUAGUAUUUUGUGUUGAAAUCAUUUGGUUUGCUAUUGCAUCAACAAAAUUGAAAAAGAGAGUAUUAUUGCAGUUAUGGAGUGUAAUCAAUAACAUUCCAGCGAAACUGAACUCGGUAUAUAAAAUACGAACUUUGAUACAUAUUUCCCGCUAGCAGUGAAGAGCAUAUAAACAGACAACUUUUAUGUAAAAGUUGGGACCAACAUUUGGACGAGGAAGUGUCACGGACAGUUAUAUAGUAACUAAAU